AUUGAACGCUGGCGGCAUGCUUUACACAUGCAAGUCGAACGGCAGCGCGGGCUUCGGCCUGGCGGCGAGUGGCGAACGGGUGAGUAAUGCAUCUGAACGUGCCCCGUAGUGGGGGAUAGCCCGGCGAAAGCCGGAUUAAUACCGCAUACGACCUGAGGGUGAAAGCGGGGGACCGAAAGGCCUCGCGCUAUUGGAGCGGCCGGUGUCGGAUUAGCUAGUUGGUGGGGUAAAGGCUUACCAAGGCGGCGAUCGGUAGCUGGUCUGAGAGGACGACCAGCCACAGUGGGACUGAGAGGCGGCCCUGAGACCGACGGGAGGCACAAGCGGCGACUGUUGGACGAAGGGGGGAACACUGAUCCAGCGGUGCCGGGCGCGGGAAGAAGGCCCGCGGGCGGGAUGACGGUUUUGUGCGGGAAGACAGCCUCUGGGCUAAUACCCCGGGGGGAUGACGGUACCGGAAGAAUAAGCACCGGCUAACUACGUG
rnacentral:rRNA from 1 species